rnacentral:rRNA from 1 species
UACGUAGGUGGCAAGCGUUGUCCGGAUUUACUGGGCGUAAAGGGCGUGCAGGCGGUUUGUUAAGUCUAGGGUGAAAGCUCCCGGCUCAACUGGGUGAGGUCCUUGGAUACUGGCGAACUUGAGGGAUGCAGAGGAAAGUGGAAUUCCCGGUGUAGUGGUGAUAUGCGUAGAUAUCGGGAGGAACACCAGUGGCGAAGGCGGCUUUCUGGGCAUUUCCUGACGCUGAGACGCGAAAGCGUGGGGAGCGAACCGG